GAUGAACGCUGGCGGCGUGCCUAACACAUGCAAGUCGAGCGUGAUUUAUGAGGACGAAACUUCGGUCUAGGAAUCAUAAUGAAAGCGGCGGACGGGUGAGUAACGCGUAGGCAACCUGCCCUUAACACAGGGAUAGCCUCGGGAAACCGGGAUUAAAACCUGAUGAUGCAAAAGAGUCACAUGGCCCGUUGGCCAAAGAUUUAUCGGUUAAGGAUGGGCCUGCGUCUGAUUAGUUUGUUGGUGGGGUAACGGCCUACCAAGACUACGAUCAGUAGCCGACCUGAGAGGAUGAUCGGCCACAUUGGAACUGAGACACGGUCCAAACUCCUACGGGAGGCAGCAGUGGGGAAUAUUGCACAAUGGGCGAAAGCCUGAUGCAGCAACGCCGCGUGAGCGAUGAAGGCCUUUGGGUCGUAAAGCUCUGUCCUUGGGGAAGAAACAAAUGACGGUACCCAAGGAGGAAGCCCCGGCUAACUACGUGCCAGCCGCCGCAGUAACAC
rnacentral:rRNA from 1 species